rnacentral:rRNA from 1 species
UACGAAGGGGGCUAGCGUUGUUCGGAAUUACUGGGCGUAAAGCGCACGUAGGCGGAUAUUUAAGUCAGGGUGAAAUCCCGGGGCUCAACCCCGGAACUGCCUUUGAUACUGGGUAUCUCGAGUCCGAGAGAGGUGAGUGGAAUUCCGAGUGUAGAGGUGAAUGCGUAGAUAUUGCUCGGAAGGCCAACGGCGAAGGCAGGUUACUGGUGCGCAACUGACACUGAGGCACGAAAGCGUGGGGAGCAAACAGG